rnacentral:rRNA from 1 species
GACGAACGUUGGCGGCGUGCUUAAUACAUGCAAGUCAACUGAAGCAGUGGUAGCAAUAUCGCUGUGGAGGUGGCGCACGGGUGAGUAACACGUAGGUAAUCUGCCUUCAGGUCUGGCAUAACUCCGGGAAACCGGGGCUAAUAGCAGAUGAUGCAGCGGCUCGACAUCGAGACAGUUGUUAAAGCUAUGGCGCCUGAAGAUGAGCCUGCGUCUGAUUAGCUAGUUGGCGGGGUAACGGCCCCCCAAGGCAACGAUCAGUGGCUGGUCUGGGAGGCUGAUCAGCCACACGGGAACUGAGACACGGUCCAAACUACGACGGGGGGCAGCAGUAAGGAAAAGUGCGCAAUGGGAGAAAUCCUGAAGCAGCAACGCCGCGAGAGGGACGAAGGGCUUGUGCUUGUAAACCGCGGUAGUGAGAGAAAAAAAUCCCAAUCAUGGGGACGUGAUGGUAACGCAAAAGUAAGCCCCGGCUAACUACGUG